rnacentral:rRNA from 1 species
CGAGGUUAAAGCGGAUGUACAUACGUAGCCGAUAAGGGGGCCUCAUCUCCUCGAGCCUCCAGCGGUCGUCGCGUUCGGACCUUCGCCUUUUCAGUCCACACUUCAUCGGUGGGGAUAACGGGCGUUGGCUGUCGCGACGGCGGACUCGGAGGAUGGGGGGUGGAUUUCCCUCCUUAGUAGGCAGUCGCGGCCGUUCGAGAGUCGUCUAAGACCCGGGAGUCGGGAACCGUCCGGCGAAUAAUACUCGCGGGCGGGGACGCUCCCUCGAUUCUGGCGGACUCUCGGACGGUUGCUAAAAAAUGACGACGUAGAAGAGAKCAAAUCUCUCGUCGUACGCGGCUGUGAUGCGAUCGUUCAUCCGUCCCGUCUUGAAACACGGACCAAGGAGUCUAACAUGUACGCGAGUCAACGGGUUGGCUAAACCCCAAGGCGCAACGAAAGUAAAAAAGAGAGUCCUCUUAACGGGGGACGCUCGUUGGGUCGAUCCGUGAUCCUCCUACUCCUCGCGUGUAGGUAGGACCGGCGCAGACCCGGGGCUCGCCGCUAUCUCCUCGAGACUCUUAGUCGCGAGGCGGACGGCGGGCACCUAGAGCGUACAUGCUAGUACCCGAAAGAUGGUGAUCUAUGCUUGGCCAGGAUGAAGCCAGAGGAAACUCUGGUGG